rnacentral:rRNA from 1 species
GAUGAACGCUGGCGGCGUGCCUAAUACAUGCAAGUCGAGCGAACGGACGAGAAGCUUGCUUCUCUGAUGUUAGCGGCGGACGGGUGAGUAACACGUGGAUAACCUACCUAUAAGACUGGGAUAACUUCGGGAAACCGGAGCUAAUACCGGAUGAUAUUUUGAACCGCAUGGUUCAAAAGUGAAAGACGGUCUUGCUGUCACUUAUAGAUGGAUCCGCGCUGCAUUAGCUAGUUGGUAAGGUAACGGCUUACCAAGGCAACGAUGCAUAGCCGACCUGAGAGGGUGAUCGGCCACACUGGAACUGAGACACGGUCCAGACUCCUACGGGAGGCAGCAGUAGGGAAUCUUCCGCAAAGGGCGAAAGCCUGACGGAGCAACGCCGCGUGAGUGAUGAAGGUCUUCGGAUCGUAAAACUCUGUUAUUAGGGAAGAACAUAUGUGUAAGUAACUGUGCACAUCUUGACGGUACCUAAUCGGAAAGCCACGGCUAACUACGUG